rnacentral:lncRNA from 1 species
AGCAAUCAGCGAGACUCCGUGGGCAUAGGACCCUCUGAGCCAGGUGCGGGAUAUAAUCUCGUGGUGCACCGUUUUUUAAGCCAGUCUGAAAAGCGCAAUAUUCGGGUGGGAGUGACCCGAUUUUCCAGGACAGUGCUAGGACUGCUUUUUUCUAUAUCAGACACGUGGGCUCCUGCUGUGUCUUCCUGGAAAGCAGAGGCCAAGGAUGGAGCAGACCAAGAGGAUGCCAGGAAAAAUCACAAAGAAGCCCAGAAAGCACAGCUGGAAGCCAAGAACCCUAUUUUUGGUUUGUGUGGGUGGAAGGUGAGGGACAACAUAUAGUGACCAACAGGAUUCUUCAUUUGAAAGAGAAUGGAGUACAUCAGACCUGUGUAUUUAGGUGAAGUAUGAUAAACAUCAUCAUACUUCAAAGAUUAUGAACAUCAAAGAUUAUGGAAAGGAACAUGACUGCUUAGUUUAUUCCAUUACCAGUGAUCUGCUUGUUUGUUCAUUUGCUUACCCAUCCAUUCAUUUAUUCAUUCAUUCCUCCAUCCAUUCUCUUUCACUUAUUCUACAAUCAUGAUUGUAUGC